UGCGUAGGGGGCAAGCGUUGUCCGGAAUCAUUGGGCGUAAAGAGCGUGUAGGCGGUUCGAUAAGUCGGCUGUGAAAGUCCAGGGCUCAACCCUGGGAUGCCGGUCGAAACUGUCGGACUAGAGUUCGGAAGAGGCGAGUGGAAUUCCCGGUGUAGCGGUGAAAUGCGCAGAUAUCGGGAGGAACACCAAUAGCGAAGGCAGCUCGCUGGGACGUUACUGACACUGAGGCGCGAAAGCGUGGGGAGCGAACAGG
rnacentral:rRNA from 1 species